GACGAACGCUGGCGGCGUGCCUAACACAUGCAAGUCGAGCGAAUGAAGUUCCUUCGGGAAUGGAUUUAGCGGCGGACGGGUGAGUAACACGUGGGCAACCUGCCUCAUAGAGGGGAAUAGCCUUCCGAAAGGGAGAUUAAUACCGCAUAAGAUUGUAGUAUCGCAUGAUACAGCAAUUAAAGGAGCAAUCCGCUAUGAGAUGGGCCCGCGGCGCAUUAGCUAGUUGGUGAGGUAACGGCUCACCAAGGCGACGAUGCGUAGCCGACCUGAGAGGGUGAUCGGCCACAUUGGGACUGGGACACGGCCCAGACUCCUACAGGAGGCAGCAGUGGGGAAUAUUGCACAAUGGGGGAAACCCUGAUGCAGCAACGCCGCGUGAGUGAUGACGGCCUUCGGGUUGUAAAGCUCUGUCUUCAGGGACGAUAAUGACGGUACCUGAGGAGGAAGCCACGGCUAACUACGUG
rnacentral:rRNA from 1 species